UCCCGAUUGACGCAGUGGUUAGCGUGCCGUUCUUAUAUCUGCUUUGCUUUGUGAAGCUUAUAUGGUAGAAAUGCGGAAGUCGUGAGUUCGACCCUCACAUCGGGAA
rnacentral:tRNA from 1 species